rnacentral:rRNA from 1 species
CCUACGGGUGGCAGCAGUGAGGAAUAUUGGUCAAUGGACGAGAGUCUGAACCAGCCAAGUAGCGUGAAGGAUGACUGCCCUAUGGGUUGUAAACUUCUUUUAUAUGGGAAUAAAAUGUUCCACGUGUGGGAUUUUGUCUGUACCAUAUGAAUAAGGAUCGGCUAACUCCGUGCCAGCAGCCGCGGUAAUACGGAGGAUCCGAGCGUUAUCCUGAUUUAUUGGGUUUAAAGGGAGCGUAGGUGGAUUGUUAAGUCAGUUGUGAAAGUUUGCGGCUCAACCGUAACAUUGCAGUUGAAACUGGCAGUCUUGAGUACAGUAGAGGUGGGCGGAAUUCGUGGUGUAGCGGUGAAAUGCUUAGAUAUCACGAAGAACUCCGAUUGCGAAGGCAGUUCACUGGACUGCAACUGACACUGAGGCUCGAAAGUGUGGGUAUCAAACAGGAUUAGAUACCCUAGUAGUC